rnacentral:lncRNA from 1 species
AUUUUUCUGCAAGUAUUUGAUUAAUAUGGGAAUUAUGGUUAUAACAAAGUUUUGCUUACCAAAGAAGAUUGGGGGAGAUAAAUUUGGCACUACUAUAUAUAAAACAAACAACAAGGACCUACUGGGAACUGUAUUCAAUAUCUUUUAAUAACCUAUCAUAGGAAGGAAUGUGAAAAACAGACAUUUACAGGUAUAACUGAAUCCUGUUGUACACUGAAACUCACACUACAUUGUGAAUUAACUAUACUUCAAUUAAAAACAUUUUUAAAGAGGGAGAAUGUGGAAAAAAUUGGGAAUUAUAUUUUCCUCAUAACGUUUGGUUUAUCUUGCUUAGGAACCCUGGGUGGCCUGGACUCUUCUCUGUAGGAAGACUUUGAGCUACUUCUUCAUUUUGUUUUUAAACAAUUUUCCCUGCACAAGGACAAAUAGGUACCUCCCCAGGACUCUCCAUGGCCGGAAGCAGACUGCAAGCGGUCUCGGGUCUCUGGAGAACCCACAUUAAGAUUGGGCCGGGCCGGGCCUGGCGGGGGAGUAAACCACGUGACCACACAGAGCGCCUCAGGGCCGACGCCCCCUCCUCCGGAAGCCGUGUUCUGACGUCGCCAUGCGGCAACUUCCUGCAGGACCUCGACGGAGCCUAUUGCAUUCUGGGACACGCGUGGCUACGCUCGGAUUUUAGAGCGUCGGUGUAGGGCGUGUCUCCCCGCGGUGCCCUGUGUACACGUUCUCCUGCCAGCUCAAACAUCUUUUCCAUUUAUAAAGAGGCGGGGUUCUAUUUCCUGCGAGCAAGGAGUUGCCAGAGGAUGGUGUCAGUUUAGGUACUGCUAAACUUAAUGCAACCAGAUCUGGGGCCUGAGACUAAUUCGAGGCUCACAAGACGGUCUAAGUGCUACUACUUCCUCCCCACAUCCCGGGCUUCCGAAGGAUCACGUGACCGAUGGCUGGCUCAGCUGUCACGUGAUGCGUCGCGUGUCGUUUUUGCGCUGGAGAGUACUAGCUCACGGGGGUACAGAGACGCACACCUGGCCGUCUGUCCCUCUUGGGCUCUGGAGGAGAAGGUGAUGGAGAAACUGGCCGUCAGAGGAGUUAGGACAAAAGUUUUUGCCUGCGUCUGUUGA